GACGAACGCUGGCGGCGUGCCUAAUACAUGCAAGUCGAGCGAAUCGAUGGGAGCUUGCUCCCUGAGAUUAGCGGCGGACGGGUGAGUAACACGUGGGUAACCUGCCUGUAAGACUGGGAUAACUUCGGGAAACCGGAGCUAAUACCGGAUACUUUCUUUUCUCGCAUGAGGGAAGAUGGAAAGAUGUUUCUGCUAUCACUUACAGAUGGACCCGCGGCGCAUUAGCUAGUUGGUGAGGUAACGGCUCACCAAGGCAACGAUGCGUAGCCGACCUGAGAGGGUGAUCGGCCACACUGGGACUGAGACACGGCCCAGACUCCUACGGGAGGCAGCAGUAGGGAAUCUUCCGCAAUGGACGAAAGUCUGACGGAGCAACGCCGCGUGAGCGAAGAAGGCCUUCGGGUCGUAAAGCUCUGUUGUUAGGGAAGAACAAGUACGAGAGUAACUGCUCGUACCUUGACGGUACCUAACCAGAAAGCCACGGCUAACUACGUGCCAGCCGCCGCCGUAAAAC
rnacentral:rRNA from 1 species